rnacentral:rRNA from 1 species
CUACAAAGGAAUUGACGGGACCGCACAAGCGGUGGAUGAUGUGGAUUAAUUCGAUGCAACGCGAAGAACCUUACCUACCCUUGACAUGUCCGGAACUUGCCAGAGAUGGCUUGGUGCCCGAAAGGGAAUCGGAACACAGGUGCUGCAUGGCUGUCGUCAGCUCGUGUCGUGAGAUGUUGGGUUAAGUCCCGCAACGAGCGCAACCCUUAUCAUUAGUUGCUACGCAAGGGCACUCUAAUGAGACUGCCGGUGACAAACCGGAGGAAGGUGGGGAUGACGUCAAGUCCUCAUGGCCCUUAUGGUAGGGCUUCACACGUCAUACAAUGGUCGGUACAGAGGGUUGCCAACCCGCGAGGGGGAGCUAAUCCCACAAAGCCGAUCGUAGUCCGGAUCGCAGUCUGCAACUCGACUGCGUGAAGUCGGAAUCGCUAGUAAUCGUGGAUCAGCAUGUCACGGUGAAUACGUUCCCGGGUCUU